GGGGCCUGAAGGCCGCCGCCGCGUGAAUCCAACGUUGGAACCAUUGAAGCAUAUUCUGUACACUUUCUGGCAGCUAACUCGUUUGCACUGACUCGAGUUUUCUUACCGCAAACCUAUAAACAGGCGCAUUAGACAGUGUCUUCACAUAGUGCGACGUCAUACGAAGCACCUUCACAGCUAGCUGCAGCAGGACAGGAUCUCCUUCGCUCCUUUGAUCCACGGCCUUUGUAUGUGCACCCCGACUUACACUCUCCAGAAGUCCAUACACUCCAGCUAGUGCCACUAGAUGGCGUCUCGGUUGGUUUGUAUGAUGGAUCCACUAGCAUACAAGUACCGCCGUCACACCACUGAGGAAUGGCCAUCGCCCUCAAGCGGCUUUACAAAUAUCAAAACAGUUAAAAAAAUAUUCUUGAAUAAACCUUUCCAUGACCACAAGAGGUCCCUGGCAGAGCAGGCCCAGAGUAAUAAAACCCAGCACGAUGCGGAGUCCUGCAGUCACAGGACACUCACUGCAAAUCAGCCGCGACGCGUGCGCUGCAGUGUGACCAUGUUGCCUCUCCGUUAGUUCCACGAGAUGGAGACAUUAUGAAACCGUCCCUUGCGCACGAGUUUCCUGAUCCAUCGUGAUGCAUGCCCAGACUGGAAUGUAUUAAUGUAUUGUAUAUAAUGGAAAAAAUAUAUCAUAAUAUCUGCUAUA